rnacentral:rRNA from 1 species
AACGAACGCUGGCGGCAGGCUUAACACAUGCAAGUCGAACGCCCCGCAAGGGGAGUGGCAGACGGGUGAGUAACGCGUGGGAAUGUGCCCCAAGGUACGGAACAACACCGGGAAACUGGUGCUAAUACCGUAUGUGACCGAGAGGUGAAAGAUUUAUCGCCUUGGGAUCAGCCCGCGUUAGAUUAGCUAGUUGGUGAGGUAAUAGCUCACCAAGGCUACGAUCUAUAGCUGGUCUGAGAGGAUGAUCAGCCACACUGGGACUGAGACACGGCCCAGACUCCUACGGGAGGCAGCAGUGGGGAAUCUUGGACAAUGGGCGCAAGCCUGAUCCAGCCAUGCCGCGUGAAUGAUGAAGGCCUUAGGGUUGAAAAGUUCUUUCGUCGGGGACGAUAAUGACGGUACCCGAAGAAGAAGCCCCGGCUAACUUCGUGCCAGCAGCCGCCGUAA